GCGCGAGACUCCACCUGCCUGUCGCGGCCCGCGGGCAGCGCUUCGGGGCUGCUGCGCGGCGGCCUUGACCACCUUGGUAUAGCAGAGGAGGAAACGGAAGCUCAGACAGCCCGCUGGGCCGCUCCGAGCUCCGGGCUGGCUGCCGCGCGCUCCCGGUCUGCUGUUCCGCGGAGGGCACAACAAAGGGCCCCCCGGGCAGCCCGCUCAGAGACCGACUACUGAAACCCUCGGGCCAGGUUCUCGUUUUUGCUUUGUUUGGUUUUGGUUUUCUGGCGUCCUUAAACUCUGAGAUUUCUCCCGAUUCCGGUUCGAGACCUCCCGGGUUAAGUAAGGUUCCUGCCCUGACUUCCAUUGAUGAUGGACUGUGCUUGGGGCAUGGUUUCUCUGUGUAGCUUUGGAGCCUACCCUGGCACUCGCUCUGUAGACCAGGCUGCCUUGAACUCACAGAGAUCCUCCUGCCUCUGCCUCCUGAGUGCUGGGAUUAAAGGCGUGCGCCACCAACGCCUGGCCAAAUGUUUUUUUAAAAAGAAUCUUUAAUAAAUGAAGUGAAAAAAGGAGGAGGAGGAGAAGAAGAAGAGGAAGAAGAUUAUUUUAGGGGCCAGAGAGAUGGCUCAGUCGUUAAGAGCCCUUGUUGCUCUUUCAGAGGACCCAGGUUUGAUUUCCAGCACCCACAUGGCAGUUCACAAUCACCUGUAACUCCAGUUCCAGAGGGGUUGUCUCCUUCUGGCCUCCGUGGGCAGUAGGAAUGCACAUGGUGCACAAACAUACAUACAGGGAAACACAAGAGAAGACAUCUUCAUAGUCUUAAAAUGCACAAGCAUGGCAGACACUACUUGUGGCUAGGACUUCCAAGGCUCAUCUGGAGAUCAAGAAUUCUGUUUUUUAAAGACAGGGUCUGUCAUGGGCUCAGAACUUUCCAAGUACGCUAGACUGGCUAGCCAGCAAGACCAAGGACCUAUGUGUCUCCAUCUUCCCAGUGCUGUUAUAUGUGGGUAUCACUCAGGAACAGAAUUCUUUGAUGGCAAGCACUUCACCUGAGCUACCUCUCCAGCCCCACAUCAUUGUCAAUCAAAAAGUAGGGUGAAUGUGAACAGGCUCAUAAAUCACAGAAGCUGAAGACAGUUGUGUCCAAUAGUGAUUAACAGACAUUCCCCAGCAGCUAUUUCAUCCAUAAGGAACCUGUCCAAUCCAUCCAGCUUUUGCAGAUUUGAAGGUGACAACUUACGGUCUGCUUUUGACUUGGAAGACACUUUGGAGGCCACCAAAGGCAGAAAAUUCUCCUGUG
rnacentral:lncRNA from 1 species